AGAGUUUGAUCCUGGCUCAGAUUGAACGCUGGCGGCAUGCCUUACACAUGCAAGUCGAACGGUAACAGGUCUUCGGACGCUGACGAGUGGCGAACGGGUGAGUAAUACAUCGGAACGUGCCCAGUCGUGGGGGAUAACUACUCGAAAGAGUAGCUAAUACCGCAUACGAUCUGAGGAUGAAAGCGGGGGACCUUCGGGCCUCGCGCGAUUGGAGCGGCCGAUGGCAGAUUAGGUAGUUGGUGGGAUAAAAGCUUACCAAGCCGACGAUCUGUAGCUGGUCUGAGAGGACGACCAGCCACACUGGGACUGAGACACGGCCCAGACUCCUACGGGAGGCAGCAGUGGGGAAUUUUGGACAAUGGGCGAAAGCCUGAUCCAGCAAUGCCGCGUGCAGGAUGAAGGCCUUCGGGUUGUAAACUGCUUUUGUACGGAACGAAAAAGCUUCUCCUAAUACGAGAGGCCCAUGACGGUACCGUAAGAAUAAGCACCGGCUAACUACGUGCCAGCAGCCCGCGGUAAUACGUAGGGUGCGAGCGUUAAUCGGAAUUACUUGGGCGUAAAGCGUGCGCAGGCGGUUAUGUAAGACAGAUGUGAAAUCCCCGGGCUCAACCUGGGAACUGCAUUUGUGACUGCAUGGCUAGAGUACGGUAGAGGGGGAUGGAAUUCCGCGUGUAGCAGUGAAAUGCGUAGAUAUGCGGAGGAACACCGAUGGCGAAGGCAAUCCCCUGGACCUGUACUGACGCUCAUGCACGAAAGCUGGGGAGCAAACAG
rnacentral:rRNA from 1 species